GACGAACGCUGGCGGCGUGCCUAAUACAUGCAAGUAGAACGCUGAAGGAGGAGCUUGCUUCUCCGGAUGAGUUGCGAACGGGUGAGUAACGCGUAGGUAACCUGCCUGGUAGCGGGGGAUAACUAUUGGAAACGAUAGCUAAUACCGCAUAAGAGUAGAUGUCGCAUGACAUUUGCUUAAAAGGUGCAACUGCACCACUACCAGAUGGACCUGCGUUGUAUUAGCUAGUUGGUGAGGUAACGGCUCACCAAGGCAACGAUACAUAGCCGACCUGAGAGGGUGAUCGGCCACACUGGACUGAGACACGGCCCAGACUCCUACGGGAGGCAGCAGUAGGGAAUCUUCGGCAAUGGACGGAAGUCUGACCGAGCAACGCCGCGUGAGUGAAGAAGGUUUUCGGAUCGUAAAGCUCUGUUGUAAGAGAAGAACGAGUGUGAGAGUGGAAAGUUCACACUGUGACGGUAUCUUACCAGAAAGGGACGGCUAACUACGUG
rnacentral:rRNA from 1 species